rnacentral:misc_RNA from 1 species
GAAAAUAAUGGUUCUCUAGGUUGAGUUUUGAAAAACAUUUUAAAAUUCCCUAGAGAUUUCCAAUCACCCUUUGUGCACUGUAAAUGUUUUUCGAGUACUUUUUCAAAAAGUGCUCGACCAUGUUUAAAAAACCCCAUUGAUUAAUUUGUCUUAAAUUUUUUUUAAAUAAUAAAAAAAUA